rnacentral:tRNA from 1 species
GAGGCUGUAGCUCAGUGUUAGAGCACUUGCCUCAAAUGCAUGAGGUCCUGAGUUCAAUCUCCAGAAUUG